rnacentral:rRNA from 1 species
UACGUAGGGUGCGAGCGUUGUCCGGAAUUACUGGGCGGAAAGAGCUCGUAGGUGGUUUGUCGCGUUGUCCGUGAAAACUCACAACUCAAUUGUGGGCGUGCGGGCGAUACGGGCAGACUGGAGUACUGCAGGGGAGACUGGAAUUCCUGGUGUAGCGGUGGAAUGCGCAGAUAUCAGGAGGAACACCGGUGGCGAAGGCGGGUCUCUGGGCAGUAACUGACGCUGAAGAGCGAAAGCGUGGGGAGCGAACAGG